UACACAUUUAGUGCUUAUAGUAAGUUUCUUUUCAUGUUUUGAUAAUUCAAAUAUCAUGUUGGUAUAUAAAUGCCAAAGUGCAUUAGUGUGAUGAGUCAGUGUAUGAAUUCAGGGUUAGUGUUGUAUGGACUCUCUGUGUUUGAACACAGGAGAACAUUUGAGCAGUGUGUGUGUGUGCAAUUGUCCUAUCCCCUCCUCUCCUUACCAUGCAGAGCA